CCCGGGGGGAUUGCCUUAGUAACGGCGAGUGAAGCGGCAAAAGCUCAAAUUUGAAAUCUGGUACCUUCGGUGCCCGAGUUGUAAUUUGGAGAGGGCAACUUUGGGGCCGUUCCUUGUCUAUGUUCCUUGGAACAGGACGUCAUAGAGGGUGAGAAUCCCGUGUGGCGAGGAGUGCGGUUCUUUGUAAAGUGCCUUCGAAGAGUCGAGUUGUUUGGGAAUGCAGCUCUAAGUGGGUGGUAAAUUCCAUCUAAAGCUAAAUAUUGGCGAGAGACCGAUAGCGAACAAGUACAGUGAUGGAAAGAUGAAAAGAACUUUGAAAAGAGAGUGAAAAAGUACGUGAAAUUGUUGAAAGGGAAGGGCAUUUGAUCAGACAUGGUGUUUUGUGCCCUCUGCUCCUUGUGGGUAGGGGAAUCUCGCAUUUCACUGGGCCAGCAUCAGUUUUGGUGGCAGGAUAAAUCCAUAGGAAUGUAGCUUGCCUCGGUAAGUAUUAUAGCCUGUGGGAAUACUGCCAGCUGGGACUGAGGACUGCGACGUAAGUCAAGGAUGCUGGCAUAAUGGUUAUAUGCCGCCCGUCUUGAACCCCCGAACAA
rnacentral:rRNA from 1 species